rnacentral:lncRNA from 1 species
UGCCGCUUUUAUCUUCUACUCACCUACCCAGAGGUUUUCUUCAUUCUACACAAAUACAGAGAUCAGAGAUCGAUACAGAAAUAGAGCGGGUCAACAUCUUCCUGUUAGUCAAAAACCACUGCCAUCACAAUUUUGGGGGUCAUAAUAUUUUCAAAACCAUUCAUCUCUCUCUCUCUUUCACCUCAAAGAUACAAAUCGAGAUCUAGGAGGCAAUCAGAUCAGUGUUUCAAAUUUAGCCCUUGUUGGUGCAUUUAUGACUAAACCGGAAGCUGGGUCACCUGUCACCAAGCAUGACAUUACUAAAGUGUAA